rnacentral:misc_RNA from 1 species
AACGCAUAUUGCACUCUCUGGUAUUCCGGAGAGUACGCCUGUUUCAGUAUCAAAAAUGUCAUCCAAAGUUUUGGUUUAUUUAUGCCAAAUCACAUGGGAUUUGGGUUUUGCAGAAGUUUUCUGCUGGCCAUAAAUAAUCUAGCCACUAAAAAAUAUAGGCGAUAAGGCGCAAUAGUUGGUACUUUUGGUUCCAUCCUUUCGCUGAAUCCUGUCUUUUUUGAAUCACUGGCUCAAUAAUAUGGAGAAACGAUAUAUAUAUAUAUAUCACCAUUGUUUAGAUCUGAAUCAGGUGGGACUACCCGCUGAACUUAA